GUUGCUUUGAAGCAUUAAAAUGUUCAAGUUGGCUCGACCAUUUGUAGGCUUUGUGGAGAUGAUGUUGAAACUGAAACCAACAAGCAUCUUCUAAAUUCUUGCUAUUUCUCCUCUUUGAUAUGGCAAGCAAUUGGCAAUUGAUGUCAAAUCCCUUCCAUGUGGCCUUAUCGAUUUAGAAUUUGUGUUUCCUUCAAAUAUCUCAGUUUGAGUCGUCACAUAAACAAGGCAAGAAUCAGAGUCAUUAGUUUUUACAAGAACUAUGGAAGCUAUUAAGGGGGUGUUUGAGAUUGAGUCUGGAAAUGGCUUAUUAACUUAUUAGAGCCAAUAAGUUAAUAAGUCAUAUGGAAAAGUCCCAAAUCUUCGCUUUUGAAAAUUACUUAUCGACUUAUUAAACUUUUUUAAAAAACUAAUAAGUCAAUAAGUGAGUUCUAAACUUUUUUUCAAACACCCCGUAAAUCAGUAUCGUAUCCAUGGAUUAAUUAUUGACCCCCUCUGAAAAGUACUUCAUGAAAAGAGUGAUGUAAUUUUGCUUUGUAAUCUCUAUUUUGUUGUUUUUAAUUUCUUGAGUAAAUUACUUUUUGAGUUCCUAUGUUUUAGUGAUUUUAAUCAUUUAAGUCUAAAAUCAAAAAGUUUAACGCCUUGAGUCUCUAACCACUCAUUAUAUAACAUUUUGAGUCCAAUUUUUGACACUUGUACUUUUGAUUUUGGACUGAAAUGGUUAAAACCAUUAAAACACAGGGAGUCAAAACGUUAUAAAAUGAACGCUUAACGUCUCAUAGCGUUAAACGUUUUGAUUUUGUACUCAAGUGAUUAAAACCGCUAAAAGAGAUGAACUCAAAAAAUAAUUUACUCUAAUUUGUUGCUAGCCGUUUUAAUGAAAACCUAAACCAAACACCCCCCAAUAAUAAGAUGGCAAACUAAGCAAGAGGAAAAGUAACAUUACACCUGCAACCAAACACCAUGUUAAAGAAGCCGCCGCUGCUGCUAGGGUUUUACAACAUUUUAUCUUCUGCUAUAAAUAGUAGCGUUUCAUCUUAAUAUCCUCUCACUCAGAUUCAGUUUUCACUUCGACGAACCCUAGAAACAACAUCUGUGCUCAAACCGUUGUUAUGAAAAUAUAAUCUCUGUUUUGUAAAUUCGAUUUCAAAGUAUGUAUGAGAUGAGGAAAAUGGAGCGGAGAUGAUUUAAUAUCAAAUGAUCCAACAACUAUCUCCUUGCUACGUUCUUUCUGAUUCAUAUCUAUUUCGUUUUUUUUGUUGUGAUUUUGCGUGGAUUGAAUAAUUGAG
rnacentral:lncRNA from 1 species